GGAGAACGUGCCCUUAGGCGGAGGAUAAUCUCGGGAAAUUGAGGAUAAUACUCCAUAGGUCACGGGGUCUGGAACGACCCGUGGCCGAAAGCCCCGGCGCCUAAGGAUCGCUCUGCGGCUUAUCAGGUCGUAGUGGGUGUAACGUACCCCCUAGCCGACGACGAGUAUGGGCCUUGAGAGAGGGAGCCCAGAGUUGGAUUCUGAGACACGAAUCCAGGCUCUACGGGGCGCAGCAGUCGCGAAAACUUCACACUGGGGGCAACCCCGAUGAGGGAAUUCCUAGUGCCAGGGCCUCUGGUCCUGGCUUUUCUCCGGCGUAGACGACCGGAGGAAUAAGGGCUGGGUAAGACGGGUGCCAGCCGCCGCGGUAAUACCUGCAGCCCGAGUGGUGGUCGAUUUUAUUGAGUCUAAAACGUUCGUAGCCGGCCCGGUAAAUCCCUGGGUAAAUCGGGAAGCUCAACUUCCCGAAUUCCGGGGAGACUGCCGGGCUUGGGACCGGGAGAGGCUAGAGGUACUUCUGGGGUAGGGGUAAAAUCCUGUAAUCCUGGAAGGACCACCGGUGGCGAAGGCGUCUAGCUAGAACGGAUCCGACGGUGAGGGACGAAGCCCUGGGUCGCAAACGGGAUUAGAUACCCCGGUAGUCCAGGGUGUAAACGCUGCAGACUUGGUGUUGGGGGCCCUUCGGGGGCGUCCAGUGCCGGAGAGAAGUUGUUAAGUCUGCUACUUGGGGAGUACGUCCGCAAGGAUGAAACUU
rnacentral:rRNA from 1 species